CCCCUCUCAGGGUCGCACCUGGAGAAUUUCCAGUAUUCUUCCAGUCAUGACGACAGGAUGGAGAGUCAAGCAGAGGCCUACCCUUUCCAUUCCUUGCUUGGGAAGUGGCUAGCGAGUGGAAGGUAAUCUGCUGCACGU